UUUGAAAAACGAAUGACUGUCGACAACAACGGAUAAGAAAACAUUAGCACGGUGAAACUCAAGUAUCCUUUCCGGGACACUCCCAAGCUUUAUUCUGCGUCUAUCACCAUCCGCUGAGAUGGCCUAUACGCUCCAGAAACAAGCGCGCGGCGGCGAGUGCCGCCACAGAAAUAUACACUAAAUAAGCAGGAAAACAUCACACACGCAAAUUCAAGUUCAACGGCCAUUGUCCGCGAAGAAACACGGCCUAUUUCGUCAUCAUCACCCUGGUCGUUAUUGUAGAGUUCACUCAAAGGGACGCCCUGCAAAACGGCGGGGUCCUAGUACCCACCCUGGAUGUAGGCGUUGAGCCGGUUCAGCUCCUCCUUGUGCUCGCUGACCACCGCGCGCACCACGUCGCCGAUGGAGACCAUCCCCAUCAUCUCGGUGCCGCUGAUCACCGGGAUGUGCCUGAUACGCUUGUCUGCACGCCGUGCCAUGGUUAGGGUUCAGUGCUUUACAGAACAUCUGGUGUGCAAUGACAAAUGAACUCGAUCAGGCGGGGUUAUGUUACCUGUCAUCAGCUGCAUUGCUUUCAGGACUCUGGUUUCAGGUUUCACCGUGAUCAGCUUGUUCUGUCAAAAUGAUGCUUUGUCAAUGAAGCUCGGCGCGUUCACAUAAUUGUCAUUCCACUUCACAUGCUUAUGACUAGAGUUUUUGUACUAAUUUUAUUCAGGGUGUACGGGGCAGACAGAAAAUCAGAACAUCCCCUAAAAAAAAUGAGAACAUUGUAUGAGCGGUACCUCUUCGGUCAUGAUAUCUCCAACUUUGGUUGACUUGGAGGAUCGACCCUGCACUAUGAUUUUCCGGAGAUAAUCUGAAAAGACAAGUAACAUAAUGUUUGUUACAUAGGUAAAUCUUGGUUUACAAAGCUGGUCAGGUUGCUGUCCUGUUCUUUUGAUCACUAUGUAGUAUUGGUUUUAUUUUCAGGCACAUCUUCAUAUACUCCUAUCUUGCCAGAGUGGUAGUCAGAGUUGGCAUUGAUGCUGGCUGAUACUUCCUCCGUUCCGAAUUACUUGUCGCGGAAAUGGAUGUAUCUAGAACUAAAAAAUGUCUAGAUACAUCCAUUUCUACGACAAGUAAUUCCGAACGGAGGGAGUACUAUUUAUGGAGAUUAUAGGCGAAGGGGUCAAUGACUUGAUGAGAUUGAAGAUCAAUGAACAAGAUCUUUGCAACUGUGAGUGUUUGAGUGGCAGGCUCAAAGUUGGCGACCGUUAAAGGUUCAUCUGGCUUCAAAGAGCGAAUUAUUUAUGCUAGCUGGAGGUUCAGGAUCAGAGUUCAACCAUUAUGGUACAGGAUCAGAGUUCAAGUAUUUAAUGGCACAAUGGUCCAAAGCGUUUAUGCUAGAUGUAGGUCCAGGAUCGGAGUUCAACUAUUUAUGGCACAAUAAUACAUGGUUCAAAGCAUAUACUUCCUUUUUGCACCUGAACUCUCCCUAAAUACUUAAUGAUUUCCUUUUUGUUGCGAACUCAUGGUAACUUGGUGGCUGCAAUUUCAACAUGAGAAUAGGAUCAUCAAAUGUUCUUUCAUGUAUAUGUUCCACUUGAUAGGGCCAUACAGGCUUGUGGCACCCUAUCUGCAGGUUCUUGAUGCAUGAUGCGUUAAGAUUUAUUCACCAGUCCUAAGAUUCUUGACUGACAGAUUAUAAUGCAUGUAAGAAACAAGGGUUGUUAUCUUUUAUCAAGCAUUUGCACCUUUAUUAUACAGCUUUUACUCAGAGUCCUUCAUGUUAUUCGUUUUUUUCUUUAUAACUAGCAAGAUGCCAUCAAGAUGCAUUUGUAUGAGUUGUUUAUCUUGUGAGAGAAAAGGAUGAACGAGGGAAGGCCUUUUUGCAAAUAUGGAGAGGGGUGUGGGUAUCUUUUUGCAAAAUUGCCAUAGUUUCCUUCCUAUCCGUCAGAUAUAAAUCGGACGGCCUAUAUUGCAGGAUGGCAGGCACACCAUCAUCACCAACUCUAUUUUUUAUAAGAGUAGAGAUGUAGAAUAAAGAAGGCAAGGACAUAAACCAAGAAAACGCAUGUCACAUAUAAACACAUAACAAUGGAUGUUAGCAAUAGUAUCUAACUUUUACUCUUUAGCACGUGAUUUGGUCUGUUUCCAUCACAGAGAGUUUAUAGACCAGUUUACCUCUCUCUGUGACGAUGCCAGCAAUUGAUUUAUCUUCCCCGGGUUUAACAACCACCAAAGCUCCCACAUUGUGCUGUGUCAUCUGUUGAGACUCUUUUCGUCACUCAAAACCAUAAAUAUUUCCUACUUAUGGAGCAAUAUGACCACUGGACUAGUAGGGAAAUCAUACCGAUUUGACAGCAUCAUAGACACUGUCAUCAGUGGUGCACCAGAGCCAUGAUCCAUCAGCACUCUUCCCUUUGGACUUCAAAAUGUCCGCAACAGUGCUGCUCUCAAAUCCACUCUCCUCUAUUUGAGCAGGUGAUACUGACAUGAAGCGCGGGAACACAGCAGGCAGCAUAGCAGGCUUCACAACACUGAUGUGUUGCAGGACAGCAGAUUUGAGCACACUGCCAUGUGAUCCGAUAGCUUGAAUUGCUCGCUGCAUUUUGUUCUGCGUCAAAUCAUACAUAAAGAAACAAUUACUUCAUUUCUAACCAAGGGGACAACUGACUUGUGACUUCUUCGAUAUUAGAAAGAGUAGUAUUUUCCUAGUUAGAAUGAAGAUGUUAUAGACAGUUUUUUAAAGUACAGUAUUUUUUAUGGAUAAUAUAGAUCAAACAAUAUAUCUAUACGACCGAAAAAUUCAAUCCGGAAAAAAGAUUAGUAAAUAAUAUCAUAAGCUGAUUAUUUCAAGAAGAUGAGCUAUUAAACAGGCAGCACAUGAUGUAGGGAAACAUUAACUGAAUAGAAUGUGAAAAGGAGGUGAAGUACAUAUGGGGAAAAAGAUGGGACUUUAGUAAUGACAUGUAACUCAACUGCCGAAGUUUACACUAACAUGAACCAAGGCUGAAAGCAAGUUUUUCCCAACGUCUGUCUCUGUAACACAAGUUUUUUGGAUCAGGCAAUUUGCCUUCUCGGACUGGAGUCAGAACCAAAGUACAUAGUAAGAAAAUUACAGCACGGGAGAAGGGUGAUCAAUUACUACAUGGCUUCAAUAUGUGGGAUUGGCUAAAGCCUAAAACUAAGGAUGCUGUCAGACAAAGCAAAGAGACUAGCUCAUAACCACACGAUGGCAGUUGACUAACACACAGAAUUAAAAAAAUGUGAAAGAGUGGAUAAGUGGAAGCAUUUGCCCAAUAAUGUAGCUGUUCUCACUGUUUCACAUAAACAAACAAACCUAUCUCCAUCCUACAGGAAACACCAUAUCAAAUUAGAGCUAGUUCCUACUUCCUAGUGGGCUGAUGCAGUGAAAAGGAUGCCGAGCUUAUCUAUCAUUUUGUACACUAGCCAGUAAAGAGGUAGGAAAUACCGGAG
rnacentral:lncRNA from 1 species